AGAGUUUGAUCCUAGCUCAGGGUGAACGCUGGUGGUGUGGAUAAGGCAUGCAAGUCAAGGGGCUCCUUCGGGAGCACCGGCAAACGGGUUAGUAACACGUGGGCAACAUGCCCCAUUCAUGGAAAUAACCCUGAGAAAUCAGGGCUAAUGUCCGAUGGUCUUAACCGAUCGUAUGGUUGGUUAAGUAAAGGCUUCGGCCGGAAUGGGAUUGGCCUGCGUUCUAUCAGCUAGUUGGUGGGGUAAUGGCUCACCAAGGCUAUGACGGAUAGGGGGCAUGAGAGUGUGUUCCCCAACAAAAGCACUGAGAUACGGGCUUUACUCCUACGGGAGGCUGCAGUCGAGAAUCUUCGGCAAUGGGCGAAAGCCUGACCGAGCGACACCACGUGACUGAAGAAGCUCUGCGGAGUGUAAAGGUCUUUUCACCGGGAAGAAUCUUCGGAUGACGGUACCGGUGGAAUAAAGGGGGCCUAAUUCUGUGCCAGCAGGCGCGGUAAUUCAGAACCCCUAAGCGUUACCCGGAUUUAUUGGGCGUAAAGCGUCUGUAGGCGGCUGAAAAAGUUUUUGGUUAAAAACCGAGGGCUCAACCUUCGGAAUGCCAAAAAAACUAUUCGGCUAGAGGCUGUCAGAGGCCAGUGGAACUGAUGGUGGAGGGGUGAAAUCCGUCGAUAUCAUCAGGAACGCCAAAGGCGAAGGCAACUGGCUGGGGCAGUCCUGACGCUCAGAGACGAAAGCGUGGGUAGCAAAAAGGAUUAGAUACCCUUGUAGUCCACGCCGUAAACGAUGAACACUAGCUAUCGGAAGUGUCGACCCUUUCGGUGGCGAAGCUAACGCGUUAAGUGUUCCGCCUGGGAAGUACGGUCGCAAGACUAAAACUCAAAGGAAUAGACGGGGACCCACACAAGCGGUGGAUCAUGUGGCUUAAUUCGACACUAAACGACGAACCUUACCAGGGCUUGACAUGCUAGUGAAGCCCGAUGAAAAUCGGGUCUACCCGCAAGGGACGCUAGCACAGGUGUUGCAUGGUUGUCGUCAGUUCGUGUUUUGAAAUGUACCGUUAAGUCGGAUAACGAACGCAACCCCUGUCCUGUGUUUCACGUAUCACAGGAGACUGCCUCGAACAACGAGGAGGAAGGUGGGGAUGACGCCAAAUCAGUAUGGCCCUCUGAUGCCCUGGGCUGCACACAUGAUACAAUGGGAUUGACAAUGCGUUUGCCACGUCGUAAGACGGAGCUAAUCGCCGAAACAAUUCCUCAGUUCGGAUUGGGGUCUGCAAUUCGACCUCAUGAAGCCGGAAUCGCUAGUAAUCGCCGAUCAGCUAUGCGGCGAUGAAUAUGUUCCUGGGUCUUGUACUCACUGCCCAUCAAGUCAGGAAAGUUAGUAAUACCCGUAGUCUCUUCGUUCGAAGGGCCGAAGGUAGGACUAAUGAUCAGGACUAAGUUGUAACAAGGUACGCG
rnacentral:rRNA from 1 species